UGACCUGGCUACAACGUGCUACAAUGGCCGGUACAGACGGACGCAAAGCCGCGAGGUGGAGCAAAUCCUAAAAAGCCGGUCUCAAGUUCGGAUUGCAGGCUGCAAUUCGCCUGCAUGAAGUCGGAAUCGCUAGUAAUCGCAGGUCAGCAUACUGCGGUGAAUACGUUCCCGGGCCUU
rnacentral:rRNA from 1 species